ensembl:lncRNA
GCGCAGUGGGACCAGAAGGACCAAGAGGGCAGCCUGGUAUAGAUGGCAAUGAUGGGCAUGGUCACUCAGGAAGAAAAGGAGCUAAGGGUGAACCUGGCUUCCCUGGAUACCCUGGCAUACAAGGGGAAGAUGGUGAUAAAGGCCAAUCAGGAAACCAAGGACCAAAGGGAUUUCCGGGGAAAAGGGGAAAUUCUGGCUCGCCUGGGCUGGAUGGAUCACCAGGAGAUCCAGGGUCCCCUGGACCAAUGGUAACAUGUUAUUUAGAUUAACUUUUCGUGUAAAAAAUACUGAAUGUAGGAAGCCUC